UACGUAAGAGACUAGUGUUAUUCAUCUUAAUUAGGUUUAAAGGGUACCUAGACGGUCAAUAUAGCUUCUAAAAUGUUAGUACUUGACUAGAGUUUUAUGUAAGAGGGCAGUACUUGAGGAGGAGAGAUGAAAUUCUAUGAUACCAAAGGGACUCGGUAAAGGCGAAGGCAGCCCUCUAUGUGAAAACUGACGUUAAAGGACGAAGGCACAGAGCACAAACAGG
rnacentral:rRNA from 1 species